GACGAACGCUGGCGGCGUGCUUAACACAUGCAAGUCGAACGGAAAGGCCUGCUUUCCCUUGUGGAUUGCGGGUACUCGAGUGGCGAACGGGUGAGUAACACGUGAGUGAUCUGCUCCCAACUUGGGUAUAAGCCUGGGAAACUGGGUCUAAUUCCCGAUAGGACUGCAGGGUGGUGCCUGUGGUGGAACACGAUUUUCUAGUGGUUGGGGAUGAGCUCGCGGCCUAUCAGCUUGUUGGUGGGGUAAUGGCCUACCAAGGCGGCGACGGGUAGCCGGCCUGAGAGGGUGGACGGCCGCAGUGGGACUGAGAUACGGCCCAGACUCCUACGGGAGGCAGCAGUGGGGAAUAUUGCACGAUGGGCGGAAGCCUGAUGCAGCGACGCCGCGUGGGGGAUGACGGCCUUCGGGUGGUAAACUCCUUUCGACCGCGAGGAAGCCACCUGGUUGGAAGGGUGGUGACGGUAGUGGUAGAAGAAGCACCGGCUAACUACGUG
rnacentral:rRNA from 1 species